rnacentral:rRNA from 1 species
GUUCAGAACGUCGUGAGACAGUUCGGUCCCUAUCCAUCGCGGGCGUAAGAAACUUGAAAGGGGCUGCUCCUAGUACGAGAGGACCGGAGUGGACCGACCAAUGGUGUACCAGUCAUGGCGCCAGCCGUGCAGCUGGGUAGCUACGUCGGGGACGGAUAAACGCUGAAAGCAUCUAAGCGUGAAACCAGCCUAGAGAUGAGGUUUCUCAUUGUUUAACAAGUAAGGUCCCACAAAGACGAUGUGGUUGAUAGGCCGGGAGUGGAAGUACAGCGAUGUACGGAGCGGACCGGUACUAAUAGACCGAGGACUUGACUUA